rnacentral:misc_RNA from 1 species
AACUCUGAUAUACCAAGUAACUAUGCUAAAUCUAGCUUUGAUGGGAGAGAUGUUGAGGUGAUUGAUUUGGAAAAUGAUUCUGAACAAGAAGAGAAGGCUCUCAUCAACCCUGAGAGAAAGUCUGAAAUUGUAUUCACUGGAGCAGAUGGCUUUUCUGAUAAUGCACAUAGUACCAACAAUAUACCCCAUGCUCAGGAUGGUUAUGGACUUAUGAUUUCAGAAUUACUUGGGAAUGAUAUAGCAAACUGUCCUCCUUUACCAGCAGAUAUGGAUUCUUUGCACAAUGAUAUGGGCCUCCACAAUGGACUCCAUAAUGGAGAGGGCAUGCUUGGUGAUGAUGAUUCAAUAUAUAUGUCCUUGGGAGAAAUUCCGAUAAGUUUUCUGUCACCCUGGGAGCAGCCGGCACAAGAAUUUGGAAAGCCAUUUUGAGGUGCUAUGAUCCAUGUUUUCUUGAGAUGUAUUUUUUUUUGAUAACCAAGAAAUCUCAAGGGUCAGUGGUGCAUGGUUCGAAACUCAGGUGGAUAAUGGAUUGCUCUCUACUCUUCUCCACUUAAAUUCUAGGCUUUUGUCUGUGGCAAGUUUCUAACCCCUGAUGUGUGCCUAACCCACACAUAUCACACUGCGCUGUUACCACUAUAUC